rnacentral:misc_RNA from 1 species
GAUGAAGAACGUAGCGAAAUGCGAUAAGUAAUGUGAAUUGCAGAAUUCAGUGAACCAUCGAAUCUUUGAACGCACAUUGCGCCCGGCAGUAAUCUGCCGGGCAUGCCUGUCCGAGCGUCAUUUCUGCCCUCGAGCGCGGCUGCCUUUCGGGGCUGCCGCUGCCCGGCGUUGGGGCGCUACGGGAAGCCUCGCGCUAUCCCCCGUAGGCCCCGAAAUGAAGUGGCGGUCCUGCCGCGGCGCCCCCUGCGUAGUAGAAACACCUCGCAUUGGGACGCGGCGGGCCCACGCCGUUAACCAGAUGAAUUUUUUCAAGGUUGACCUCGGAUCAGGUAGGAAUACCCGCUGAACUUAAGCAUAUCAAUAAGCGGAGGA